CUGUCAGUGCUCUCCUCUUUGUUCAAACCGGUUCAGCUCCUCACCCGCAGCCUCGCCACCGGCGUACAGGGAGUGAGCACCUGCGCCAAGCGUCUAUCACGAUUUAGAUCAGAUAUCUCCAAAUUGGACAUGAGGCAGAUGCUGAAUAUUAGUCGUGGAGCAGACAAUUGACCUAUUUGCUGAAGGUGUAGCGCGUUGAAUCUUUUUUUGCUCACUUACCGGUUCUUUUUGUUUUUGCCGUUUCACCCAUUCGACUCAUCGCUGACAGUCAGACGAUACGAUUGGAGCACCGGGGUAGGCUACGUUUGAAACACCUGCACAAAAGCGCAACGUACCGCUCUAACAUUCCUGCGGAAUUUGUAAAAACUUCUUUCAGGCCAAAGCAACUGCCCAUGCACCUGAUCCCUUCCACCGGAUGUUACCAGCCACAUUGACCUCUAACCUGUAGCCGUUCACCUCUGACCCCUACCAGACAUACAGCUGGAGGAACGGACCUGGCGCAGGAGUCUUAACAGGGGCUGAGAGGUCCAGGAUGGCUGUGGCUGUGCAUGUACCUGGUCGACAGGCUGUCCCGUCUCUGCUGCUGCUUCUGUGUGCUGGCCUAGGCGUGAGCGAGGCAGCCUCCAUAGUGAACAUGCGUAGAGUCAUCCACCCUACCGUACAAGAGCCACUGGCCGGGUUCGCUCACCUCCCCUGCGUCUUCACCCACAAGCCCAGUGAGCCCAGCCCCUCUAGCCAGCCUCCCCAUAUCCAGUGGACCCGAACCUGGGUACUGCGUGGAGGAAUGGGGGAUCCCCUGGAGCAGAUGGUUCUCUCAGCCAAAGGUGACGUGGUGAAGGUGAAUAAGGCUUUCGCUGGGCGGGUCAGGUUGCUUGGAUACGCUGCCAACAACCUAAAUGCUACCAUGGAGAUCUCAGGCCUCCGUAGCAACGACACAGGCACCUACCACUGCCAGGUUGUCGUGGGCGACAACUACGAGCGAGACGUAUUGCCCCUUGUGGUCAUGGGUGUUGUGUUCCAUUACCGGUCUCCUAGUGACCGUUACGCCCUCUCAUUCGAUGACGCCCAGUGGGUCUGUCAGGAGAACUCUGCCCUCAUCGCCACGCCGACCCAGCUGUGGGCAGUUUUCUACAAUGGCUAUGCAAACUGUGCUGCCGGAUGGCUCUCCGACCAGACUGUCCGCUAUCCCAUCCAGUCACCAGAGCGUGGUUGCUAUGGACAACAAGAGUACUCGGCUGGUGUGAGGAAUUAUGGGAAGAGAGACCCUAAUGAGCUGUUUGAUGUCUACUGUUUCGCCGGGGAACUGGACGGUGAGGUAUUCCACUCAUGGGUCCCAGGGCGUCUGACUCUACCCUCUGCCUCAGAACGCUGCAUCUCCCUGGGGGGACAGUUGGCCACGGUGGGGCAGCUCUACCUGGCCUGGAAGGCUGGGCUGGACAGCUGUGCUCCAGGCUGGCUCUCUGACGGCAGUGUCCGCUACCCUAUCACCCAGCCCAGGCAGGGCUGUGGAGGGGACCAGCCAGGGGUCUGGACCGUCGUUCCCAACACCAGUGAAACCACAACCAGCAGCGGAUCUGCUAAUGCUACGGACGCCACACCACUCUAUGAUGCCUAUUGCUACAGAGGGAACGUAAAGAAGCCAGGCCCCAUCUCUAAAAUCUACACGUCUCUGUGGAAGCCCUGGAGCUACCUGACCGGCCCCAGCGACACAGGCACUCCAGGAACAGGCAGCCUUUCCCUGGCUACUGAGACCAGCAGCAGCCCCCCGACCACAGGGAGCCGUAACCUUUCACCUUCUGGUGACCUCACACCUUCGACCUGGUCAGGAUUGAUUGAUCUGGAGGAAGAGGCCCGCUCUUCUUCAGACCCCUGGUCCUCAGAGUCCUCUGAGGGGUAUGUCACCCUGCAGCUGAGCCCAGGAGAGAGCUCUCUAGCCUGGGGAGAUCUGGGAGACAUGGACCCUAACUCUGGAGUUUUCCUCAGACCUCCAGCCACGCCCAGCCACGGUCCAAGUUCUACCACACAGAAAGAGGAGUUAUCAGCCCCCACUGACAGAAAGGUGAUGGCCAAGAUAGUGAAGUCCAUGUGGAAGCCGUGGAACUACCUGGCAGGGGUGACAGAAGGUACCCCAGGAAGAGGCAGUCCAGAGGUGGAGAGAAGGGGAACUACGGGGGGGACUGAGAGCGGGACUGUGCCCACCGGUUCUCCUGGCUCUCCUGCUCCAGGUUUACUCUCAUGGGGUCAUGGGUGGUGGGAUAGCUUAGGGCUGGGGGAACUAGAUGAUAUACCACCCACUGGUGAGCCCUCGUCCUCCCCAGCCCGGCUCACCUCUACCCCAGCCUCGGAGAGCCAGUCCUCUGCCUCCUCCUCCACCCCUGGAGGACGGGAGGCUGUCCCAGACACCACUCAGCCCAAAGGGGGGACGUUGGUACAUGUGGCCCCAUCAAAAGUUGAGAUCUCGCCCCAGCCGGAUUAUAUUCCCACUAGAGCAGAUGGCCUGGCCAGUGUUGGGAGAGAGAGAGUGAUGGUGAAAGAGGAGGGGAGUGCUGAGGGGGCCUCCGAAGAGGCGGGAGGGAAGAUCCAGUUCACCCGUCUCCCCGUUGGAACCAGAAAACCCAUAAUCAGAGUCCCUCCAUCCAACGAGAGAACCACAAGGAAGGAUCAGUCAGGAGCCAGUCGCAGCACAACUCAACCACCAGUCAGCAGCUCCCCUGCUGGGUCAGACAGCAGAGACUCUUUCCCUCCAUCCAGACCAGGUACUGGAGCUCUAGCCCCUCCACCCUCAGCCUCAGUCAUCCAGGGAAGCUCCAAGGAGGCCUCAUGGUCCCUCUCCUGGGUCUCAGUGGAGAGAUCUGCAGAGCAGGGAGGUGAGGGUCCAGAAAGUGGGCCCUUGGCGCUGCCCUCCGGACCCCCAGUGGAAGAAGAUACAGCCUGGUCUCACGCACUGGGCUCUGGUUUGCCUAGCAACCUGGGAGAGGAGGGUGGCAGGAGUGCAGGAUUCAACCGGAGCAACAGAACUCUGGGCUCAGCUGGUGUGGGGGAGCCCUGUGUGACCAACCCAUGUCUGCAUGGAGGGCAGUGUGUGCCUCAGGGCAAGGGCUACAGCUGCUACUGCCCACAAGGCUUCACGGGGGAGAACUGUGAGAUCGACGUGGAUGACUGCCAGUCCAGUCCAUGUCUAAACGGAGGCACCUGCAUCGACAAGAUCCACUCGUUUGUCUGCCUCUGUCUGCCCAGCUACGCAGGAGACACCUGUGAGAAGGAUGUUGAGAGUUGUGAACAUGGAUGGAGGAAGUUCCAUGGCCACUGCUACAGGUACUUCUCUCACAGACACACCUGGGAGGAUGCAGAGAAGGACUGCAGAGUGCACAGCGCCCAUCUUAGUAGUAUCACCUCAGUCACAGAGCAGGAGUUCAUCAAUGGUCUGGGCCAUGAUAACGCCUGGAUUGGCCUGAAUGAUCGCACAGUGGAGGAGGACUUCCAAUGGACUGAUGUCAAUGACCUGGUAUAUGAGAACUGGCGAGAGAGCCAGCCUGAUAACUUCUUCGCGGGUGGAGAGGAUUGUGUGGUGACCAUCGCCCAUGAGGAUGGCAAGUGGAACGAUGUGCCCUGCAACUAUAACCUGCCCUACGUCUGCAAGAAAGGCACAGACUUUUUUGUUAUUGUCGGCCCGUCUGACAGUGCUGUGUGGAACCCCACCCGCCGUGGAGAACGCCCAUCUGAUUGGCCGUCGGCGGUCCCACUAUGACAUACAUGCUGUUGUGCGUUACCAGUGUACUGAAGGUUUCUACCAGCGCCACAUCCCCACUGCGCGUUGCCGGGCCAACGGCAUCUGGGACCGGCCCAAGAUCAUCUGCACAAAGUCUCAACGAUCCCACCGGUACCGCCGCAACCACCACCACGGCCAGCGCCGGGAGCGCAGGAACCACAGGAGACAUGGAGGAGAGGCACACAGGGAGAGGGAAGAUGAUGCCCACAGCCCCUACUGAACCAAAUACUACACUUCCCAUAAUGCCCUGUGCCGGACCCCUGACAAUAGUUGACGUUUAUUUUUUCCUGACCUAUUUCAGUCUGUCUCUUUGGGUUAAAUCCUCACUUGAGAUACUGUAUGUGUGCAAAACUUUUAUUCAAAUGACCUAUUGACAUCAGUGCAAAAAAAGUGAAUUGUUCACACGUACAUAUCUAAAGUGAGGAUUUGUUCCUUUGUUGUUGAUUUUGUUUACCCCAGGUCCAUUACAACAGUAAUACUUGUUCUCUCGCUAACACGGUCGCUAAUAUCUAAGAAACAGCAAAUCCUUGGCAUGUGUAUGGAUAACCUAUUCUCGCUGUCUAAACAUAGACAGUGACGUGUGUGUGUGUGUGUGUGUCAGGGUGUCUAUGCUAUGCGAGUGUAUGUGUUCUGCAACGUUUGAAGCUUGUUCUACAUCUCAGAACUCAUUUUAGUAUUCUGUUUCUAAAGCACAAAUGUAAUUAAUGCCAGUGAGCUAGUUAGCUUUCAGUCUCAAAUAUCCCAGAGCUUUUGUAUGUGUACUGUAUUUGUUAUGUUUCUUUAGGACUCCUGAAUAGCAGGUCUGUUUUAUUAUUCAACUUUCAUGCCAUUUUUAAUAUUUGCUAUCUCUUCAUGUUACUAUUUAUUAUGGACUCUUCGCAAGUUAAUAUACAGUAUGUUGAUUUGUUUUGACAUAAUCCAACGAGGCAAUGUAAUACCUUUUUGUUGUAUAUACCAUUCUUACAAUCAAAAGUAAUGAAGGUAACCCAAGUUAAUAUACAGUAUGUUGAUUUGUUUUGACAUAAUCCAACGAGGCAAUGUAAUACCUUUUUGUUGUAUAUACCAUUCUUACAAUCAAAAGUAAUGAAGGUAACCCUUUGAUGGCCUGUCUCUGUACUGUAAAUACUGUGGUGUUUUGUUUGUUUGUUAUUGACUGGUAUCUGAUUGAUACCUGAGCCUUGUCAUGACCCAGUCAUGUACCAGUCAUGACCCAGUCAUGUACCAGCCAUGACCCAGCCAUGUACCAGUCAUGUACCAGUCAUGUACCAGCCAUGACCCAGUCAUGUACCAGUCAUGUACUCCGUAUCGCCCUCUCAAAUAACAACUAAAACACACCCAUUGAUCUAGAUGGAAUAGGAUAGAUCGAAAUACUGCGGACUGGGACAAAACUUAACUUGGUAAUCUUUGCCCGGCUCCAAUAUGUGAGGGGCAGGAUGCCAUGAUUCGUAAUACAUAUGGUUCUUCUGAUAUUUGAUUGGGCGUAAUCCCUUUUUGUUGGUGUUAUGACUUCCUGUCCUGCUGUUGUGUUCCAUUCUUAAUAAAGCUGCAGAAACGUAAUGAACGA